rnacentral:circRNA from 1 species
GUCUGCACUACAGAGCUUACACAAGGCUUGUGAAGUCGCCAGAGCGCAUAACUACUACCCAGGCAGCCUAUUUCUCACUUGGGUGAGUUAUUAUGAGAGCCAUAUCAACUCAGAUCAAUCCUCAGUCAAUGAAUGGAAUGCAAUGCAAGAUGUACAGUCCCACCGGCCCGACUCUCCAGCUCUCUUCACCGACAUACCUACUGAACGUGAACGAACAGAAAGGCUAAUUAAAACCAAAUUAAGGGAGAUCAUGAUGCAGAAGGAUUUGGAGAAUAUUACAUCCAAAGAGAUAAGAACAGAGUUGGAAAUGCAAAUGGUGUGCAACUUGCGGGAAUUCAAGGAAUUUAUAGACAAUGAAAUGAUAGUGAUCCUUGGUCAAAUGGAUAGCCCUACACAGAUAUUUGAGCAUGUGUUCCUGGGCUCAGAAUGGAAUGCCUCCAACUUAGAGGACUUACAGAACCGAGGGGUACGGUAUAUCUUGAAUGUCACUCGAGAGAUAGAUAACUUCUUCCCAGGAGUCUUUGAGUAUCAUAACAUUCGGGUAUAUGAUGAAGAGGCAACGGAUCUCCUGGCGUACUGGAAUGACACUUACAAAUUCAUCUCUAAAGCAAAGAAACAUGGAUCUAAAUGCCUUGUGCACUGCAAAAUGGGGGUGAGUCGCUCAGCCUCCACCGUGAUUGCCUAUGCAAUGAAGGAAUAUGGCUGGAAUCUGGACCGAGCCUAUGACUAUGUGAAAGAAAGACGAACGGUAACCAAGCCCAACCCAAGCUUCAUGAGACAACUGGAAGAGUAUCAGGGGAUCUUGCUGGCAAG